UACAGAGGGUGCGAGCGUUUGUUCGGAAUUAUUGGGCGUAAAGCGCUUGUAGGCGGCUUGUUAAGUUCCGUGUGAAAUCCCCCAGGCUUAACCUGGGAAGUGCGCGGAAAACUGGCGAGCUUGAGUGCCGGAGAGGGUCGCGGAAUUCCCGGUGUAGAGGUGAAAUUCGUAGAUAUCGGGAGGAACACCAGUGGCGAAGGCGGCGACCUGGACGGACACUGACGCUGAGACGCGAAAAGCGUGGGGGAGCAAACAGG
rnacentral:rRNA from 1 species